rnacentral:lncRNA from 1 species
UUUCGAUACUUUUCUUUUACACUUAAACAACACUAAUGUUUUAUUUUUGAUAAAUAAACGACCUUAAUUAAUGACACUUGAAAUUUCUUUCCCCGAAUAAAUCUCUUCAAGGCGGAGAAGCUUAACAUCGCAAUUUUAAGGCGAUUUUUGAGAUGAUAUUUUGGGAGAAAAUUCUAUAUAUAUACAGUGUGACAUUACCAAACUCUCUGUAGCCUGCAAGAACAGAUUAAUCUUUGAGAUAAAAAAGUGUAAUCCUUGACAACAAUUUUCACUUUUCAUGUUGUAGCCUGUAGAUCUAACAAAUAUUACCAAACUCCCUGCAAUCUGCAAGAACAGAUUAAUCUUUGAGAUAAAAAGGUGUUAUCCUUGACAACAAUUUUCACUUUUCAUGUUGUAGCCUGUAGAUCUAACAAAUAUUACCAAACUCCCUGCAAUCUGCAAGAACAGAUUAAUCUUUGAGAUAAAAAGGUGUUAUCCUUGACAACAAUUUUCACUUUUCAUGUUGUAGCCUGUAGAUCUAACAAAUAUUACCAAACUCCCUGCAGCCUACAAGAACAGAUUAAUCUUUGAGAUAAAAAGGUGUUAUCCUUGACAAUAAUUUUUACUUUUCAUGUUGUAGCCUGUAGAUCUAACAAAUAAUUUGGUCACAGUGAGGAAACUAGCUAGUUUAGUUUUAGGGUUCCUAACAUCAUAGACGAAAUAAAUCAUGUUGGAGAUUACCUAGGGAGUCCAAGUGAAAGGGAGAGUGGCAAUCGGGCGGGUUAUAAUCCUUGAAGAACAGAUUGAAGGAGUCAGUGGCCACUGAGCAAGAGACUUGCGGGAGAAGAGGAGAGAUGGUGCUAUUAACUUAUUUUCGGGAUUAUGAGCCUUUGUGACAAUGAACCUAUUACCGUCGGAGUUGGUCCCUGCGUCGUGAUGAUCGGCUUUGGCGUGGUGGAGGGGGUUGGUGAUUUUGUUGUGGUCUAAAACGACGCCGGGAAGAGGUCUCGAUACAGGCAAGAUGCAGAGGUGGAGUGAAAGAACAUAGUGUGAAAGUGAAUAUCAGAGAAUCGGAACUUCUUACAAAGUGAAUAUGGAGAGGCCUGUUUGGUUGUAACUUGAGGGGAGAACUCUUGGGCAGGGAUCGCGCCGCAAACGAAUAGUCAGUAAUCCACAUUCAAAAUUAAUAAAUUAUAGGGAAUAAAGCCCGGGUCAAUUAUCGCAACAAAAGUCAAAAUACCAUUGAAAUAUCGCGAAAUCUCCCCAUACGAGUCAUACUGUCAAAUUCUUGUUCUCGUUAAAUUAUCGCGUUCCGAUUUUAGUUUGAGAAACCGAAACGUUUCGCAUUUCAGAGGUAUUUUUUAUUUUAUUUUAUUUCCCAAGGAUUUCCAGCUUACCUGAGCCGUCCGCCAUGACGUUUCAAUUUUACAGUUUCUGCAAAUCUGAAACGUUUUGACGCGAAUUAAAUGGCUUCUGCGGUUUUAUCCAUUUUUUCCUUAUCUCGAGUUUUGAUUCCGCGAUUUCCAACUUCUUGUAGCUGUGCUACUCCCAUGACUAUGUCCCAACUUUGUAAGUUCCUUCUCUUCACUGUUGGCUUUUUGUUAUCUUUGUGAAUUGAUCUGUUUUCCUUUGUAUCUAUCAGCUUGGAGGAUUGUUCACCGACAUACUACUACUUUUGUUUUCGCUGAAGGGAAAAAUUGAUGGUCAGAGAAUGUUGGAAUUAUGCAUCUAGGUUUCGAACUUGCUCUGAUGGCAGCAUCAUGGAUUUGACCUUGGUGCUAUGUCGGUGUUGGUACAGAUGGAUGGACUCACGGGAAACCUCACAUUAGCUCAGAGCAAGCAGGAACUAGCUAGCAUCAGCUCCUCUAUGAGGUAGGUGAUGCUAGGGACUGACACUGAAGUUCAUCCAACUCAACUUGAGCUGGAUACUAGUGUCACUAGCUGCGAUGCUGAGCUGAGCUACAGUGAAGAUGGGGAGCUAGGUGGUUGGGGUGAUUACUCCUUCACCUAGGACGGAUUGGUUCACACCUCUUCAUGAGAUUCAAACUCAAAUUCUGAGUUCUUUUCCCUCCAAACUCGUACGGCUAACUACAUUGUCUAUCUAUAGAGAUAAUGGCUCCUCUUAAUGCAUACAUUCGUACCCCUUCAGCCCUGGACUCCUUGCAUAUAUAAAGAAGGCAGCUAUGUGGGAAAACAUAUAUAGAAACAUCUAUCCUAGCCUACGAGAUUCUAAGUGACUCCAGUUUCUGAAGUCUAAGAACUCGAGUGUAGACAGUCUUAUCCUCAGAAGAAAUUUCUUAAUACCCAAGGCUUGUAGGAUGGAAAUACUCUUUUUGGAAAGUGGUGCCCACAAUUCUGUCUUGAUCCUAAAUCUCUUAACUCAUCAUAACUCGAAGCAUUGCUUCUUGAAAUCUCAUGAACUAACAGAGGAAGGAGAGAGAAUUCUAGAAUUGACCACUAUACGAACGAAUGAAGAGAAGACCGAAUAGGGAGGAGCUAAUGAGGUGGGGAGUGAAAGAGGGAAGAACUAAAAAUUUCAUAUUAAAGAUUUAUUCUUCAUAAACAGAGGCAGCCACCUCGAGCUCAAACAACAAGGGCGGCAAGCAGAGCCUGGUAAUAGAACCAAGAUGGUUGUAAAAGGGAAAAGUCGAUGGGAUGCUAAGAACAAUCAACAGAUGAUAGCAACGCAAAAUCUCAAAGAAAAGAGAGAGGAUUCUGGAAUUGACCGGUGUGCCAAACUGCCAAUGAAGGAAGAAGAAGAAGAAGAGUAAGGAGCUAUGAGGCAAGGUAUGAAAGAGAGAUCAACAGAAUGUUCCUUAUGAGCUCUAUAAUGCCAUGUUUUCAUGCGACGGCAGGAAGGAGGAGGUUGAGGGAAACGGUGAAACAGAGUCGUCAUCAAUGCGUAACAAUGUCAACCAUCGUCUACUCUAGUCUUCUGAGUUAUUCCAAAUGCGUUUGGGGUGGGACUGGAAGAAGAAGGAGAAGGUGGUAAAUGGUAAUGGAACAAAGAAGAAGAAGACAAAACAGAGCCGAACCCGAAACAAUGACAACAGCAAGCGGAAGGCAAUGGUAAUAGAACCAAGAUGGCUGACGAAGAGGAAAAUUGAUGGCAGGCAAGAGCAAUUGAAGGAUGAUGGCAAAGCAAAAUCUCAGAGAAGAGAGAAUUUUGGAAUUGAAGGAAGAGGAAGAAGCUAUGAGGCAGGGUGCGGAAGAGAAAAUAACUGAAGGUUUUAUAUUAGCGUUUUAUCAUCUUCUUAAACUAUGAGUUCUUUCCUAAAUUCUACUUUCAUCAUCAUCAUAUAUAUAAAUAAAUAGAUAAGUCACUGAAUAAAUCAAUGACUUGGCGAGAACAACACAGUAGAUUAAGUCAGUUAUUCUUUUAUUUUUAUUUUUGAAAAGAGGUUAAAUCUUUCAGACUUAAAAAUCGACAAAAAUUUAGAAAAUUACUUUAUGAAGUCAAAAUAGCGGAAGACCAUACCUUCUAAAAGCC